rnacentral:rRNA from 1 species
CCUACGGGUGGCAGCAGGGGGGAAUAUUGCACAAUGGGGGAAACCCUGAUGCAGCGAUGCCGCGUGAGUGAAGAAGGAUUUCGGUAUGUAAAGCUCUAUCAGCAGGGAAGAGAAUGACGGUACCUGAGUAAGAAGCCCCGGCUAACUACGUGCCAGCAGCCGCGGGAAUACGUAGGGGGCAAGCGUUAUCCGGAUUUACUGGGUGGAAAGGGAGCGUAGACGGCGAAGAAAGUCGGAAGGGAAAGCCCGCGGCUCAACCGCGGAACUGCUUUGGAAACUUUUUUGCUGGAGUCCCGGAGAGGUAAGCGGCCUUCCUCGUGUAGCGGUGAAAUGCGUAGAUCUUAGGAGGACCCCCAGUGGCGCAGGCGGCUUACUGGACGGUAACUGACGUUGCGGCUCGACCGCGUGGGGAGCACACAGGAUUAGCUCCCCUAGUAGUC